CACGCCCUAAACGAUGCGAACUGGAUGUUGGGGGCACUUUGGCCUUCAGUAUCGAAGCUAACGCGUUAAGUUCGCCGCCUGGGGAGUACGGUCGCAAGACUGAAACUCAAAGGAAUUGACGGGGGCCCGCACAAGCGGUGGAGUAUGUGGUUUAAUUCGAUGCAACGCGCAGAACCUUACCUGGCCUUGACAUCCACGGAACCUUCCAGAGAUGGAGGGGUGCCUUCGGGAACCGUGAGACAGGUGC
rnacentral:rRNA from 1 species